rnacentral:lncRNA from 1 species
UCAUUUGACACUUGAUUGAAACAGAGUAAAUUACUCCUAAAAACAGUGAUCCAGUUUCUGAAGGCUGCAGCCUGUAUUCAUUGCUAAUGUUUGAAGGUUAAAGUCUGUGGAUUUCCCCUAUGGUGGAGAGAUUGUGAUGCUCAGAUCUGACAGUUCAGGAACUGGAGCUUGAAAGGAGGUGUCCCAAUGUCUAAUGUGGAGAAAAUUAAUUUCUCUUUCCAAAGAUCCUCAUCAAUGAUGUAUGCUUUUGACAGGAUCAGAAAACUCACAGUAGCAGCUGAGCAUGGUUUUGUAUAUCUGUAAUCCCAACACUGGGGAGGGAUAUCAGGAGGGUCAGGAGGUCAGAAUCAUCCUCAAGCUACAGAAAGCUAGACAGUGAGUUUGGGGCUAGCCUGAGCUACACAAUCCCUUGUCACAUUAAAGAAAGAAAAUGUAUACUAGGAAAGUACCAAACUUGGCUCAUUGUGAGCUUUCUUGGAAAGGGGGAGAUGAUAGAGACAGGGCUUAGGAAGCCAGCUCUGUAACAGUUCCUUAUCAAACUACUGUUCCCGCAAGGUGCGCAUAGCAGUGAAGGGCGAGGAUGUCUCUCUUCCUCUAUACUUCUUUUUAGUGACCCCGUCAUGUCUGGUGUGCCUUAAAUCUUAACUUUAAAUGAUAACUCUAUGGAUUGUUUACAGAUAAAGUUUUAUGCUGGGACCAGAUUAGCCAUGCAUGGUUGGUCCUCUACAAUAAUAAUUUCAAAUCCUCUUUGAUUUUAAAUCUUCUUUUAGAGUCACAUUAAGACUCCUUCAGAAAAGCUAGUACUUUGGUACCUGAUUUAGUGUAAUCAAUUGGGUAUAAUGCUGCUUCAAAAAAUGGCUUUUCCUUCUCAUUCC